rnacentral:rRNA from 1 species
CCUACGGGAGGCAGCAGUGAGGAAUAUUGGACAAUGGGCGCAAGCCUGAUCCAGCCAUGCCGCGUGCAGGAAGAAGCAUCUAUGGUGUGUAAACUGCUUUUGUACAGGAAGAAACACUCCCUCGUGAGGGAGCUUGACGGUACUGUAAGAAUAAGGACCGGCUAACUCCGUGCCAGCAGCCGCGGUAAUACGGAGGGUCCGAGCGUUAUCCGGAAUCAUUGGGUUUAAAGGGUCCGUAGGCGGUUUAAUAAGUCAGUGGUGAAAUCUGGUCGCUCAACGAUCAAACGGCCAUUGAUACUGUUAGACUUGAAUUAUAAGGAAGUAACUAGAAUAUGUAGUGUAGCGGUGAAAUGCUUAGAUAUUACAUGGAAUACCAAUUGCGAAGGCAGGUUACUACUUAUGGAUUGACGCUGAUGGACGAAAGCGUGGGGAGCGAACAGGAUUAGAUACCCUGGUAGUCCACGCCGUAAACGAUGGAUACUAGCUGUUCGGAGCAAUCUGAGUGGCUAAGCGAAAGUGAUAAGUAUCCCACCUGGGGAGUACGUUCGCAAGAAUGAAACUUAAAUGAAAUUGACGG